GACGAACCGUGCGAACGUUGUUCGGAUUCACUGGGCUUAAAGGGCGCGUAGGCGGGUCGCCAAGUCAGGGGUGAAAUCCCACAGCUCAACUGUGGAAGUGCCUCUGAUACUGGCGAUCUGGAGUGGGGUAGGGGCAUGCGGAACUGGUGGUGGAGCGGUGAAAUGCGUAGAUAUCACUAGGAACGCCGGUGGCGAAAGCGCCGUGCUGGACCCCAACUGACGCUGAGGAGCGAAAGCCAGGGGAGCAAACGGG
rnacentral:rRNA from 1 species